rnacentral:tRNA from 1 species
UCCUGGUGGUUUAGACAGUAAAGAGUCUGCCUGCAGUGCGGGAGACCCAGGUUCGAUCCCUGGGUCAGGAA